ACAGCUUUUUACUAGUGAAGUUGUGCUGCCGUGCGUGCGACCAGAGGGCGACGGCGGACCCGCGUGACCGCCCGCGGCCUGCCGCUCGCCGUCGCCGCCCAGUGCCGACUGACGACUUCCGCUGCGGCGCAGCCGACUGCCGUCUCCGUCUGCCGAGGCCCGACCGCCCGAGGCAGCCGUCUCCGUCUCCGUUUGGCCCCUGCUCGCUUUCAGCGCUAGCUCCGCCACUGCAGCCAGCCACACGCGAUGAGCAAAGCAGGCGGCGGCCCCAGCUCGGCCACGGGCCCGACGGCCGCGGCGGCCGCGGCCGCGGUGCAGAAGCAGAAGUCGCUGCUGCAGAAGGCGGACGCCGACGUCUCCAGCCUCGUCGACAAUUUCUCCUCCCUCAUCAACAUCGCCCGAGUCAACGAUCCGCCAGUGCGCAACUCGCAGGAGGCCUUCCAGAUGGAGAUGCGUGCCGCCCGCAUGUGCCACAAAAUUGGGGUUAGAAGAGAGAUAAGUAAACUGCAUGGUCUGAUUUUUCUAAUAAACGCAACAGAUUAUUGCUUUCUUGUUUGUCUGGAUAUCUUACUUUCGCUGUACUUUUGUGAUUCUGCUGGGGCAUGGGAAGCUAGAAGGCUGCACAUUUGUUCCAAGCAUACUAUACUAUAAAAGCAGCGCAUGAGGUUCUUCCAGGUUUUAAGUUCUGACAAGUUCAACUUCCAAUCUAGUUAAUUUACUUGACAAGGAGGAGUUGGGUUCAGCCAGCUGUCCUUUUGUGUCAUCAGUUUAUAUCACGCACAAGCACAACAUAGAAGCUGUUGGGUGAUGCAAUCUUAUUAUAGCUUGAUUGCGAGAUAGCCAGGCUGUAGAAUCAUAAAGGAUAUGCUUCCUCCAAUCGGUGAAAUAUUGGUCCUUCUAGGUACAUUCAGCAGACUCGCUGUUGAAAUUAGUGUCGGAACUUAAGAGGACAGCCAUAUUUUCUGGGCUUGCUUCAUUGAACGAGAAUGUGGAUAGGAGGAUAGAAGUGUUGGGUCAGCAAGCUGAGGUAACUGAGA